CUGUGACGCCGGGCCCCUCUGACGGUUGCCAACCGCCAUGUCGGAGUCACUUU
rfam:Pseudomonas denitrificans ATCC 13867, complete genome.